GAUGAAGAACGCAGCGAAAUGCGAUACGUAAUGUGAAUUGCAGAAUUCAGUGAAUCAUCGAGUCUUUGAACGCACAUUGCGCCCCCUGGUAUUCCGGGGGGCAUGCCUGUCCGAGCGUCAUUGCUGCCCUCAAGCACGGCUUGUGUGUUGGGCCUCCGUCCUCCUCCCGGGGGACGGGCCCGAAAGGCAGCGGCGGCACCGCGUCCGGUCCUCGAGCGUAUGGGGCUUCGUCACCCGCUCUUGUAGGCCCGGCCGGCGCUUGCCGGCGACCCCCCUCAAUCUUUUCAGGUUGACCUCGGAUCAGGUAGGGAUACCCGCUGAACUUAAGCAUAUCAAUAAGCGGAGGA
rnacentral:misc_RNA from 1 species